rnacentral:misc_RNA from 1 species
CGGUCGCGAGCCGUGCGCAGGAGAUUGCCAGCGAACAGCUGUUCGUCGAUCUCCCGGUCUCCUACCGCACCGAUCGCCGGGUAUUCAUCGACAAGGAGGCCGUGCGGAUCGACUUCCUCGCGGAGCGGAUGCGACAGCUCACCGUGAACCGUACUGACAAGCGUGUCUAUCUUCGAGGGGACGCGCAGGUGAAUCUGCAGGAGCUGUACGAAGUAUUCGACCGACUCCGGGAGGCGGGAAUCCAGGACGUGGGCAUCAUCUCGAAGCUGCCAGGCGAACAAUGAGCGAAGUGGCCGAUGUGAUCGUCGCGCGCCAGCAACGGGCCGAACCGUUCGGGUCGAUGCUGAUGUGGUCGAUCGCCGUCCACGCUGGCCUGCUCGCGUUUUUCAUCUUCGGUCCAGACUGGCAGCUCGCCGCGGUCGAGACGCCGAAGACCGUCAUGAACAUCAGCCUCGCGGGCGCCCCGGGACCACGCGCGGGAGGCAUGAGCCCGAUGGGCGGACGCGCGAUCCCCGCACCCAAGCCCGACGCCACUCCUCGAGCGAUGCCACCACCGCCGCCAAAGCCAGCGGAGCGGGUGGCCCCCGCCAAGCCACCGGUCAAGCCAGCAGAACGCGCGCCAACGCGCAACACCAGCCGGCAGCAGGCGCAGCCGAUUGCCACUGAGGAGCCGCAGACCGGAGUGACGCGUACCGAGACAGGCGCUCGCGGGCAGGGCUUUGGCCUCUCAACCGGCGGCGCCGGCGGCAGCGGCGUUCAGCUGGACGUCUCGAACUUUUGCUGCCCGGAAUACAUCGAGCAAAUGGUCACUUUGCUCCACAGAAACUGGCAACCAAACCAGGGCGUGCGGGGCAUGACCGUGAUGAAAUUCACGAUCGCCCGGGGCGGAUUGAUUCAGGACGUCAUGGUCGAACGCCCGAGCGGGUUCAUCGCGCUGGACCUGGCGGCCGAGCGCGCACUGCUGACGACGCGGCUUCCGGAACUACCUCCCGCGUUUCCCAACCCGUCGCUGACCGUUCAUAUUACAUUCGAGUACCAACGGUGAUGAGCAUGCAGGACGUCCAGACGAGAAGACCGAAGGCACGCGCGUGGGUUGUGGCCGCCGUCGUGAUGUGUGGCGUCGUCGCAGGGGUCGCUGACAGUCCCGCUACCUCGCAGACCGUGCAGACCCCGCAAACAUCACAGCAGCCGUCCGAAGUGGCGGUCGUGAUCAGCGGAGAUCCAGGCACACCGCCUCGGUACGCGGUACCCGACUUCGUCGCGGCCAACCCCGAGUCGGCGGACAUCGCGAAGACCCUCAGCCAGGUGCUGUGGGACGACCUGGCAUUCGAACGGGAGUUCUACCUGAUCCCUCGCGACACCUACGCGACGAUCCCGUCCGCUCGUACAGCCGCUCAGAUUCCCUUCAGCGCGUGGCGUGAACUGGGCGCCGAUGCCGUGGUGUUUGGCAGCGUGCAGCGCACCGGCAACGAGGUGCGUGUCGAGAUUCGGUUGUUCAACAUCCGAACCCAGCAGUCCGUCUUCUCCAAGGAAUACACGGGCACGCAGGCCAACCCUCGUCUCUUCGCGCACACCAUCGCCGACGAGAUCCACCAGCAGCAGCGAUCGCUGCGCGGCGUCGCUCGCACGAAGCUGGCGUUCUCCUCCGACCGCAACCGCGAACGCGUGGGCGCCACGGUGCAGGACCGAGAGGCCAAGGAAGUCUACGUCUCGGACUACGACGGCGCCAAUUCACGCCGGAUCACGACGAAUCGUCAACUCAACAUCACACCCGUCUGGUCCCCCGACGCGCGGGCGGUCGCCUACACCUCGUACCGGCGCGGCUACCCUGACGUCUUCGUGGCGCUGAUCUAUGAAGGGAUUCAGCAGGAGCCCACCAAGGGCGGCACCCAGAACUGGCUCCCCAUGUUUUCGCCCGACGGCACCCGCAU